rnacentral:rRNA from 1 species
AACUUUCAACAACGGAUCUCUUGGUUCUGGCAUCGAUGAAGAACGCAGCGAAAUGCGAUAAGUAAUGUGAAUUGCAGAAUUCAGUGAAUCAUCGAAUCUUUGAACGCACAUUGCGCCCAUUGGGAUUCUUCUAAUGGGCAUGCCUGUUCGAGCGUCAUUU